UCCAACGGUUUUGUCUUAGUUUCGUCAUUCUAAAUCCAACGAGACCAUCCGCAAGGUCGUAGCUCUUCUAAUAGCUGAGAUAUGGCAUUUUUGAUGCCCAUUUUUGGCCUCAAAAACGGACGUCGAAAACGACUUUUUCAGGAUUUUCAAAGUGCUCUCAUUCCCUUAGUUCUGCUCGGAUCCUGUUAUAACCCGGUGUUUUCGUAAUCUAGGUGACCCAAAUAAGACGCUGGUAUACUUAGUUAGAUUUCGAAAAAAAUGAAUUUUUGGUGAAAAAAAAACGAUACGGGGGGGUAUACCCGAAAAAUGAAAAAACUCAAACUUUGAAGGUCGAUAUCUCGGCUCCUAUGAGAGCGAUCGGGAAAAUUCCAACGGUUUUGUCUUAGUUUCGUCAUUCUAAAUCCAACGAGACCAUCCGCAAGGUCGUACCUCUUCUAAUAGCUGAGAUAUGGCAUUUUUGAUGCCCAUUUUUGGCCUCAAAAACGGACGUCGAAAACGACUUUUUCAGGAUUUUCAAAGUGCUCUCAUUCCCUUAGUUCUGCUCGGAUCCUGUUAUAACCCGGUGUUUUCGUAAUCUAGGUGACCCAAAUAAGACGCUGGUAUACUUAGUUAGAUUUCGAAAAAAAUGAAUUUUUGGUGAAAAAAAAACGAUACGGGGGGGUAUACCCGAAAAAUGAAAAAACUCAAACUUUGAAGGUCGAUAUCUCGGCUCCUAUGAGAGCGAUCGGGAAAAUUCCAACGGUUUUGUCUUAGUUUCGUCAUUCUAAAUCCAACGAGACCAUCCGCAAGGUCGUAGCUCUUCUAAUAGCUGAGAUAUGGCAUUUUUGAUGCCCAUUUUUGGCCUCAAAAACGGACGUCGAAAACGACUUUUUCAGGAUUUUCAAAGUGCUCUCAUUCCCUUAGUUCUGCUCGGAUCCUGUUAUAACCCGGUGUUUUCGUAAUCUAGGUGACCCAAAUAAGACGCUGGUAUACUUAGUUUGAUUUCGAAAAAAAUCAAUUUUUGGUGAAAAAAAACGAUACGGGGGGGUAUACCCGAAAAAUGAAAAAACCCAAACUUUGAAGGUCGAUAUCUCGGCUCCUAUGGGAGCUAUCGUGAAAAUUCCAACGGUUUUGUCUUAGUUUCGUCAUUCUAAAUCCAACGAGACCAUCCGCAAGGUCGUAGCUCUUCUUCUAAUAGCUGAGAUAUGGCGCUUUUGAUGCCCAUUUUUGGCCUCAAAAACGGACGUCGAAAACGACUUUUUCAAGAUUUUCA